rnacentral:rRNA from 1 species
CUACGUGCCAGCAGCCGCGGUAAUACGUAGGGUGCGGGCGUUAAUCGGAAUUACUGGGCGUAAAGCGAGCGCAGACGGUUACUUAAGCAGGAUGUGAAAUCCCCGGGCUCAACCUGGGAACUGCGUUCUGAACUGGGUGACUAGAGUGUGUCAGAGGGAGGUAGAAUUCCACGUGUAGCAGUGAAAUGCGUAGAGAUGUGGAGGAAUACCGAUGGCGAAGGCAGCCUCCUGGGAUAACACUGACGUUCAUGCUCGAAAGCGUGGGUAGCAAACAGGAUUAGAUACCCUGGUAGUCCACGCCCUAAACGAUGUCAAUUAGCUGUUGGGCAACUUGAUUGUUCAGUAGCGUAGCUAACGCGUGAAAUUGACCGCCUGGGGAGUACGGUCGCAAGAUUAAAAUUCAAAGGAAUUGACGGGGACCCGCACAAGCGGUGGAUGAUGUGGAUUAAUUCGAUGCAACGCGAAGAACCUUACCUGGUCUUGACAU